AAUUUGCCAAGCGAGCAGACAGCAAUUUCUCACAACAAGGGAAAAUUCCUUGUCCUCUGUGACAGUCAAUUUAGAAACAGAAAAUGAACAGUUUGUUUCUUUGUGAUGGAUUAAUUAUACGUCUCAUUCCAAUUGAGCACUUCCCUUUGGACUUGGAGUGUACAUGUAUGUGCGUUUGCACGUACAUGCAUGUGUUCGUCUGUGCGUAUGUGUGAGAGAGAAUGAGCAACAUAGAAAAGGCGAUCUGUGUACACUGGGUGGGAAAAGUACCCAAUUGUCAUACUUGAGUACAAGUAAAGAUACCUUAAUAGAAAAUGACUCGAGUAAAAGUGAAAGUCACCCAGUAAAAUACUACUUGAGUAAAAGUCUGAAAGUAUUUCGUUUUAAAUAUACUUAAGUAUCAAAAGUAAAUGUAAUUGCAAAAAUAUACUUAAGUAUCAAAAAUAAAAGUAUAAAUAAAUUCCCAUUCUGAACAUUAAGCAAACAAGGCGGUUUUAAGACAGCCAGGGGAACACUCCAACACUCAGACAUCAUUUACAAACAAGGCGGUUUUAAGACAGCCAGGGGAACACUCCAACACUCAGACAUCAUUUACAAACAAGGCGGUUUUAAGACAGCCAGGGGAACACUCCAACAUUCAGACAUCAUUUACAAACAAGGCGGUUUUAAGACAGCCAGGGGAACACUCCAACAUUCAGACAUCAUUUACAAACAAGGCGGUUUUAAGACAGCCAGGGGAACACUCCAACAUUCAGACAUCAUUUACAAACAAGGCGGUUUUAAGACAGCCAGGGGAACACUCCAACAUUCAGACAUCAUUUACAAACAAGGCGGUUUUAAGACAGCCAGGGGAACACUCCAACAUUCAGACAUCAUUUACAAACAAGGCGGUUUUAAGACAGCCAGGGGAACACUCCAACAUUCAGACAUCAUUUACAAACAAGGCAGUUUUAAGACGGCCAGGGGAACACUCCAACAUUCAGACAUCAUUUACAAACAAGGCAUGUGUUUUAGUGAGUCCUCCAGAUCAGAGGCAGUAGAUGACCAGGGAUGUUCUCUUGAGAAGUGUGUGAAUUGGACCCUUUUCCUGUCCUGCUAAGCAUUCAAAAUGUAACGCGUCCUUUUGGGUGACAGGGAAAAUUUAUGGAGUAAAAAGUACUCAAAAACGUUGUCAAAAAUGUAAAUAGUAAAGUACAGAUACUCCAAAAAACUACUUAAGUAGUACUUUAAAGUAUUUUUACUUAUGUACUUUACACCACUCUCUCUGUGUGUGACGUGU